rnacentral:misc_RNA from 1 species
GAUGAAGAACGCAGCGAAAUGCGACAAGUAGUGUGAAUUGCAGAAUUCAGUGAAUCAUCGAAUCUUUGAACGCACAUUGCGCCCCUUGGUAUUCCAUGGGGCAUGCCUGUUCGAGCGUCAUUUGUACCUUCAAGCUUUGCUUGGUGUUGGGUGUUUGUCUCGCCUUUGCGUGUAGACUCGCCUUAAAAUAAUUGGCAGCCGGCGUAUUGAUUUCGGAGCGCAGUACAUCUCGCGCUUUGCACUCAUAACGACAGCGUCCAAAAGUACAUUUUACACUCUUGACCUCGGAUCAGGUAGGGAUACCCGCUGAACUUAAGCAUAUCAAUAAGCGGAGGA